rnacentral:rRNA from 1 species
GAGUAAUGUCUGGGAAACUGCCUGAUGGAGGGGGAUAACUACUGGAAACGGUAGCUAAUACCGCAUAACGUCGCAAGACCAAAGAGGGGGACCUUCGGGCCUCUUGCCAUCGGAUGUGCCCAGAUGGGAUUAGCUAGUAGGUGGGGUAAAGGCUCACCUAGGCGACGAUCCCUAGCUGGUCUGAGAGGAUGACCAGCCACACUGGAACUGAGACACGGUCCAGACUCCUACGGGAGGCAGCAGUGGGGAAUAUUGCACAAUGGGCGCAAGCCUGAUGCAGCCAUGCCGCGUGUAUGAAGAAGGCCUUCGGGUUGUAAAGUACUUUCAGCGGGGAGGAAGGGAGUAAAGUUAAUACCUUUGCUCAUUGACGUUACCCGCAGAAGAAGCACCGGCUAACUCCGUGCCAGCAGCCGCGGUAAUACGGAGGGUGCAAGCGUUAAUCGGAAUUACUGGGCGUAAAGCGCACGCAGGCGGUUUGUUAAGUCAGAUGUGAAAUCCCCGGGCUCAACCUGGGAACUGCAUCUGAUACUGGCAAGCUUGAGUCUCGUAGAGGGGGGUAGAAUUCCAGGUGUAGCGGUGAAAUGCGUAGAGAUCUGGAGGAAUACCGGUGGCGAAGGCGGCCCCCUGGACGAAGACUGACGCUCAGGUGCGAAAGCGUGGGGAGCAAACAGGAUU